rnacentral:rRNA from 1 species
UACAGAGACUGCAAGCGUUAUUCGGAUUCACUGGGCGUAAAGGGGGCGCAGGCGGCCAUGUGUGUCAGGUGUGAAAGCCCGAGGCUCAACCUCGGAAUUGCGCCUGAAACUACAUGGCUAGAGUACUGGAGAGGGUAGCGGAAUUCAUGGUGUAGCAGUGAAAUGCGUAGAUAUCGGGAGGAACACCUGUGGCGAAGGCGGCUUUCUGGGCCUUACCUGACGCUGAGACGCGAAAGCGUGGGGAGCGAACCGG